ensembl:lncRNA
CUCAAAGUGAAGCUGUAGCCAGAGAAUCUUUUGAAGAGAAUCAUAAGAAAAUGCUCUCUGGAAAGAAAGGUCAUGAGUCUGGAAAGUGCUGAAAACCAGAGUUUGGGUGUGGUGGAUACUGGAGCUGGGGGUUGAGCAGUGAAUGCCAGUAUGAGGGAUGACAUCACCAGGCCCUUCAGGAUGGAAUGCUGGUGAGACAAGGUUCUCUUGGAGCAGACAUUGAGAUGGAGUUUGAGCAGCAAAGUAUUUAUUAGGGAUGCAGAAGAAUUGAUGCUUUUGAACUGUGGUGUUGGAGAAGACUCUUGAGAGUCCCUUGGACUGCAAGGAGAUCCAACCAGUCCAUCCUGAAGGAGAUCA